AUUGAACGCUGGCGGCAGGCCUAACACAUGCAAGUCGAGCGGAGCGGCGGACGGGUGAGUAAUGCCUAGGAAUCUGCCUUGCCGUUGGGGAUAACGUCCGGAAACGAGCGCUAAUAUCGCAUACUAUCAGAUGAGCCUAGGUCGGAUUAGCUAGCUGGUGGGGUAAAGGCCUACCAAGGCGACGAUCCGUAGCUGGUCUGAGAGGAUGAUCAGUCACACUGGAACUGAGACACGGUCCAGACUCCUACGGGAGGCAGCAGUGGGGAAUAUUGGACAAUGGGCGAAAGCCUGAUCCAGCCAUGCCGCGUGAGUGAAGAAGGUCUUCGGAUUGUAAAGCACUGUAAGUUGGGAGGCGUUACCAACAGAAUAAGCACCGGCUAACUUCGUGCCAGCAGCCGCGGUAAUUC
rnacentral:rRNA from 1 species